AUGUGGACAGGGAAGUUGACAGGAAGGGGGGAAGGAUGGACGGAUGGAAGGAAGGAAGGAGGAAGGAAGGAAGGAGGAAGAGAGGGAGGGAGGGAGGAUGAAAGGAAGGAAGAAGGAGGGAGGGAGGAAGGAAGGAAGGAAGGAGGAGGGAAGAAGGAGGAAGGGAGGGCAGGAGGGAAGAAAAAAGAGGAAGAUAUAUAUAUAAAUGGACACAGCGCAAGCAGAUGGAGGUGUGGCCUUGAGAGGCUGCAGUCUGGCCCUGGGGGUCACUGUGCGCCCCCGAGGUCACUGUGCGUCCCCGAGGUCACUGUGCCCCCGAGGUCACUGUGCGUCCCCGAGGUCACUGUGCCCCCGAGGUCACUGUGUCCCCGAGGUCACUGUGUAUCCGCGAGGUCACUGUGUCCCCGAGGUCACUGUGUGUCCCCGGGGCCACUGUGCCCCCGAGGUCACUGUGUGUCCCCGGCACCUCUGGGGAAGGGGAGCAAGCGCCGGGCAUCUGGCCUAGCAGGAGACACAGAGGACCCCAAAGCCGUCUCCACCCCUGACUUAAAAGCCUGGGGGGCCCAGGAACCUCGCUUGGGGCUUGGUGGGGGGGGUGGAAAAACCAAGCUGCGCUCAAGCCCGCUCCCCCUGCGCCCGGGACCCUUGGGCCCGCUGCUGCUUCCAGCCCCCGUCCCAGCGCCCCUGACUCCACAGGCUCCUCGGCUGCCCGAGGCCCCGCAGUCCCCGCGUGCUGCACGGGGCGCGGGUGGUCGCGGCAAGGCCGGGCUCCCCACAUCCCGCCGGGGAGCGAGGGGUGCCAAUGGAGGGCCCGCUUGGCCAGCCCCGCGAUGUCCCGGCCGAGGCACUGCUGCCAGCAGCCACGUCCCCCUCGGCAAGACGGGGGGCCCGCAGCCCCUCCUGCAACCCCGCGCUCCGGCACGUGCAGUCCAGUCCGGCCACCAGGCCCAUACUUCCUCUUUUUCCAGACCAAUAUUCUAUUACUCCUCACAAGUUUAUUAG
rnacentral:lncRNA from 1 species